GGGCCCAGUGUGGUCACGUUACCUGAUUCGUCAAUCGCGGUAAUUGGGGUUCGAUUCCCCAUGGGUCCACCA
rnacentral:tRNA from 1 species